CAUAAAAAUAAAUUAGCAACCUGUAUAUGUUAGUAAUAUGGUCUAACGUCUCUACACCUACCCAUUGUAAUUAGGUACUAUAGGUUAAUGUUUUUCCUUU
rnacentral:ncRNA from 1 species